rnacentral:lncRNA from 9 species
AAAGUAGAGAUGGCUAAGACCUGGCAGCAGGGCUGAAGGGGGAGUCAGUCAUUCCUGCAUGGGUGCAGAGGUCCUAUGAGUUAUGAGGAGAAAGGUUGUUACGGACAGUGGUGCAAAGUACGUAGCAUCGGGAAGGCCUGCUCUCCCUCCCCCUGCCUGAGUCUCCUAUUGCCAAAGUAUUCCAAAGAGAAGCAUUACGUAUCUAAGAAGAGAAAAGAGGUGAAGCAUUGCGGAGGAUGGAGCGUGAACACAGGAGCACCCUGUGGAAAGAGUAGGGAAGCUGAAAUGAUCUCCUGCCAUUUCAGCAGAUGGAGGAAUGUGGCCGGAGGUGAAAAUGGGCAGGAGGACUCGGGAGGCUCUCUCGUGGCAGCAGAGCCGGCAUGCUCGUGUUGGCCAUUUCUCAGCUGGGGAAUGUGCCACGGAGAGGUUCCCUUUAGCAAGAGAGGCAGAGGCUCCCUUUCUCAGGUCUUUCAGGGUGCUGUCUGCCUUCCUCCGAAACGUUUACCCAGGAGGAUGGGCCAGGAGGAGCUCCGUCCGUGCUUCAUCCCCCUGCCCCCCCUCGACUCCCAGCCCAUGUCCGGUCAGGUGAGGCACCCAGAGUACCUCAUGAGCAGCACCACCGCCUUGCUGACAGUGCCUGUGUGUCCCCCUAGCAACCCCCGACGAUGUUGUGGAGGCCGGUGGGAGUGAGAAGACCAAGGAGGAGGCCCUGGCUGGGGAAACUGAGGAGGAGAUGGGGCUGGGGACUGUGAAGGCGGAGGAGGAGGAGGAAAAGGAGGAAGCUGCAGCCAUAGACAAGGCGGAGGAGGAGGCGGGCCCGGCCCAUGAAAAUGACAAGGAGGAGUCGCCAGCCAGCGACCGGGCUGAGCAGGAAGACAAGCCUGCCCCCAAGGUGGACGGGACGGACGAUGAAAGCUUGUGGAGCAUUGUGAGUCUGUGUGGCAGCAACCACGAAGAAAGUGAUACAGACUUGGUGGCGGAGAGCACCGACUGCCGCCAGGAUGAGGAGGCUGCAGAAUCUUGCUUUGGGAGGAAAGGAUCUUGCUGCAGGAGUCUGAGGAUAUGUUUGUCCUCUGCGAGCUUGGCUAGAAUAAUUCCCCGGUGGCCACACAACAGGGUGCACCUUGCCACUGAGCCAGACAAAGAUACUGUGGAACCUGACUCAGUACAUUCAGCAACCCCCGACGAUGUUGUGGAGGCCGGUGGGAGUGAGAAGACCAAGGAGGAGGCCCUGGCUGGGGAAACUGAGGAGGAGAUGGGGCUGGGGACUGUGAAGGCGGAGGAGGAGGAGGAAAAGGAGGAAGCUGCAGCCAUAGACAAGGCGGAGGAGGAGGCGGGCCCGGCCCAUGAAAAUGACAAGGAGGAGUCGCCAGCCAGCGACCGGGCUGAGCAGGAAGACAAGCCUGCCCCCAAGGUGGACGGGACGGACGAUGAAAGCUGUGAGUAUUCUGGAACCCUGCUCUGCUGAGGAGAAGUCCAGGUGUUGAGGAAGGGAGGGGGGCUUUCCUGCUCCUUUGGUUGCAGAGACACCCUGAUUCUGGGUUCCUCCUGGGAAUGAGGGUGAAGGAUGGGGUGAAAGAGACAGACUUCCCACUGAAGGGCCACCCCAGGUUCUAGGGUCCCUGGACAAAAGGAGGCUCUUUGUAUGGUGUGGGUAGGUGUCCAGGACCAUUGGGCGGGGGGUGUGUGUGUCGGGGGGGGGGCUGUUGGUGUGAUUGGGAAUCAGUGUGAGUGGGUGUGUUUUGUGGGGAGCCGUUUGUGGCUUAGCACCACAUAGCUGUCCAGUUUCUAAUUGAAGAGUCUCAUGAUGCCCGCAGGCUAACUUGCUUCGCUUGAAAUGAUGUCCUCCAGCGAGUUCCUGUCGAGGCUCAGUGGUCAUGAACCCGACUGGUAUCUCUGAGGACGCGGGUUCGACCCUUGGCCUUGCUCAGUGGGGGAAGAAUCCAGCGUUGCGGUGAGCUGUGGCAGAGGUCCCAGGCGUGCGCGCAGCUGGUUUCCAGCUUUGCUGCGGCUGGGGUGUCAGCCGGUGGCUACAGCUCUGAUUUGCCGCCUCGCCUGGGAAUUUCCAUAUGCCGCGGGGGCAGCCCUCAAACCCCGAAAUGAAUCGAUCAGUAAUGUCCUCCAGUUCUCUGUGCAUUGCUGCAAUGGGUAGGGUUUCCACCUUCUGUGGAAACGGAACGCCUUUCUGUUGUCUGUAUCCACCCCGUCGUCUUUCUCAGUGUGUGCGCCCGUGGACACUGAGGCUCUGUUUCUGUUGGGCUCUUGUGUAUGGCGCUGCCGUGAUCCUGGGGUGGCAGGUCUCUUUACCCGACACCGAUGGUUCUUCCUUUAGAUGGUCCACGCAGCGGUGGGAUUGCAGGGUCCCGUGAUAGGCCUAUGGCAGCUUUCCUGAGGACCUGCCAUCGUGUGUCCCGUCCUGGCUGGGCCAGCUGACCUUCCCUCCUACAGGGUACAGAAGUCCCAGGUAGUCACAUCUUCCCAAACACCUGUUCACGCUUGAAAACACUCCGCGUCCUGACAGGUGGGAGGUGAUACCUCAUUGUGCCUUUGCUUUGCCUUUCCGUUGUGGCAGGUGACUUUGGGAAACAUUCCCUGUGUGUGCGGCUCUCUGUUGUCGUCUUGGACGGAGGGUCUCUCCCAGGCUUCUGCUCAUCUACAACUGAGUUAUUUGCGUUUUGAUUCAGUUGACUUGUCGUUGUUUCCCAUAGAUUCUGGACAUGAGCCCUUGUUCCAAAUGUAAGGUUUGCAGAUAGCGUCUUCUGCGGGUUGUCUUUCCAUUCAGUGGCUCGUUAGACCCUGUCCUUUCUGUUGUCUCUGUGUUCAUUGAGGUGCCGAGUUGUUUCAUUUUCUGCUGUGUAGCAACAUUCCCCAGGCGUGUGUGUGCAUAAACACAGGUUCCUGUUUGACUGUUAUCGUCCGUCCCGGUCGAUUUCAGGAGAUCGGAUCUAGUUCCCCGUGCGCUGCAACAGGAGGACCUCGUCGUCUCUCCAUUCUCAAUGCCGUAGUUGGCAUCGACUCCCCCAAACUCCCAGUCCAUCGCCCUCACAACCACAAGUCUAUUCUCUGUGUCCGUGGGUUUUGUGGACAGGUUCCUUUGUGCCAUGGUUUAGAUUCCACAUCUAAGUGAGAUCAGGUGGUAUCCGUCUAUCUCUUUCUCACGUCCUUCGCUUUGUAUGAGAAUCUCUCGAUCCAUCCCUAUUGUUUUGAAGGGCAUCUGGGUUUCUUCUUUGAUUUUCUGGCUGAGUCGUGAAUUCCAUCGUAUAUGUGGACCACAUCGUCGGAUCCAUUCGUCUGUCUGGGACAUGAGGUGGCUUCCCUGUCUUGGCUGUUGUGAGUAGUGCCCCAUAAACACACAGGGGCAUAUAGUCUUUUGCCUGGAUACGUUUGUCCUGAUAUUUUCCAGGGCGCUCGCUCGACUUGCUGGGUGCCAUGCUGUGCUAUGUUCAGUUUUCGGAGGCCCCUCCGUGGUGUCUUCCGUAGUGGUUUGUACCAGUGUACAUUUGCACCGGCAGUGCUGGGGGGACGCCUUUUCUCCACCCGUGUCUGCGACCGACACCAAGCUCGCAGGCAGCGCUGGAUCCUUAACCCCCUCAGCGAGGCCAGGGAUCAACCCCGCAAGCUCGUGGUUCCUAGUCGGAUUCGUUUCUGCUGUGCCCCGACGGGACCUCCUGGGUCGUUUCGUUGUUGCUGCGGUGAGGUGUAUGAGUUUUCUUUAUGUAUGUUUUGGAGAGGAACCUCACGGGCAGUGGUACCUUUCUCCUCAGUGUUUCUGUAGAGCUGCUUGCAGUCCACAGUGUGGCAGCCACUGGCCAGAGGGAGCCAUUUAUGUUUUGAUUGAAUUCAAUCCGUAGUUAGGUCUGCCUCUUGCAGUGAACACAACAAAGCAGCCAGUGGUUCACUCACACACGCCACCCCGCAAGUGUGUCCAUGCAGCUUGAAUUUCAAACCUGGAGCUAGACCUCCAGAUGGACUCCUAGAAGGGUGACGUGUAAAGCUGCAUCCCUCAGCAGCCCACGAUCUUGGCAGGUUUGCCACUGUGACCAAUGUUUUAUUGAAGCUUCUGAGGCCGUAGAGCACAGGGAAGUUCCGAGCACACAGAGGACAAGCCAGGGCGGUGCUGUGUGGCCCCAAAACAACCUUAAGGAGACAUGAGUUGGGGGGCACGGUUUCUGACACCUUGAUUCCUUAUGUCUGUGUUCUCUGCCAGUGUGGAGCAUUGUGAGUCUGUGUGGCAGCAACCACGAAGAAAGUGAUACAGACUUGGUGGGAGAGCACCGACUGCCGCCAGGAUGAGGAGGCUGCAGACUCCACUGGGACACCUUAAAGCCUCAGCCUGGGACUGGAAGAGUCCAAACGUUUCCAUCUUGACCAGGAAACAAGAUCGACCUCACUCUUCAUCUAUUACGAGCCAACUUUAUAUUAAGUUCUGAUACAUGUUUACUACUUGGCAUUUAAGAUUUGGUAGAAUGUAAGAUUUGUGUAUUAAGUAAUCGUUAUCUAUCUAUUUGCUUUUAAACUAGUUUUUGAUAAGAUAAACACAUGUAUAGGAGAGCCCCUUAAGCAGAGGUAGAACUUAAUGUACUGGCGUCAGGCAGUCACCCUGGUGUCCACCACCAGGAUCACCCCCUGUCCUGUCACCCGCAUCAGUCCUGGCUGAAGAAGGGGACUGUGGAUUUAGUCCUGACCAUCUGCCCUCAGGCCAGUUACUUUCCAAGGAUUCUGUGGCCUCACGUCGGUUUGUACCUUUGACCAUGGGACCUCUGUCACACUCCCUCUUUCAGGAUGACGUGGAUGGCCGGGCCUUGCAUGCCCAGACCCUGGCUGCUGGAACAUCCCUAACUCACCCUCUCUCCUCGUGUCUCUAACAUGUUUCUUUACAUCCCGUGCCUCGAGACGGUAUUUUUAAACCAUAUAGAGUGACACCGAAUGGGGCACAGAUAAAACU